rfam:Picea glauca, whole genome shotgun sequence.
ACAUGCCUACAACAUAGAGUUAAUGCAUUGGAUCCCAUUAGAACUAUGUGGUUAAGCAUGCUUAAGUUAGACUAGUACUGGGAUGGGUGACCACUUGGGAAGUCCUAGUGUUUUACAUGCC